UGGUUGGAUCAGUUUGCAAACA
rnacentral:miRNA from 1 species